UACAGAGGUCUCAAGCGUUGUUCGGAUUCAUUGGGCGUAAAGGGUGCGUAGGUGGCGGGGUAAGUCUGGUGUGAAAUCUCGGGGCUCAACCCCGAAACUGCACUGGAUACUGCCUUGCUCGAGUACUGGAGAGGAGAUUGGAAUUUACGGUGUAGCAGUGAAAUGCGUAGAUAUCGUAAGGAAGACCAGUGGCGAAGGCGAAUCUCUGGACAGUUACUGACACUGAGGCGCGAAGGCCAGGGGGGCAAACGGG
rnacentral:rRNA from 1 species